rnacentral:lncRNA from 1 species
AUGGGUCUGCGGGUCUCAUUCAAGGCACACAGCCGCAACUCUACUGAGCGCAGCACCAGAGCCCCAGGAUUGCUACGUCAAGUUGCAGGCGGAGAGCAGCUGCAAAACUGCCACCAAUCCGGAGUCUGUCCACCCGGACCGCCUCCAGUCACAAACAACACGGUUACGCCCCGCAGGACCGGAAAGCGCCGGGAAGCCACGGAUGAAUGGAAGCCGAGUCCCGACCUGCGCGAGGGGCGAGGCAACAGCGGGAGGGGCGGGGGCUCUGUGGCGUCAUGGCAUGGGCGGGCACGUGAGGGGCUCCUGGUUGUGAUUGGCUUUUGAUAGCCACGUGAUUGAAGGCAGCGUUCCGGUUGGUAGGUGCUGGUGUAAAGGCCUUCUUUUGGGAGGUGCGACGGAAAAAAGGAGGAGCUCUGACCGCGCUCUCUGCCGGCAGUGGCUGUGCUUCUCAGCGCUAGUCGGGUCCCCACCCCUUUUAAAUAAGCCAAGCUGGUCGCCGCCCUCGCAGUGUAGUCAGCUCUGAGGAGUCGGUGGUGGUUGUGCAGGUGGCG